rfam:Parcubacteria bacterium GW2011_GWA2_47_21 TX94_C0003, whole genome shotgun sequence.
GCGGGAUUAGUUAAAUGGGAUAACGUCGGUUUUCCAAACCGAGGUCGGGAGUUCGAUUCUCCCAUCCCGCA